GUCUACGGCCAUGACACCCUGAACGUGUCCAAUCUCCUCUGAUCUCGAAAGCUAAGCAGGGUUGGGCCUGGUUAGUACUUGGAUGGGAGACCACCUAGGAAUAUCAGAUGCUGUAGGUA
rnacentral:rRNA from 1 species